AAACUUUCAACAACGGAUCUCUUGGCUCUGGCAUCGAUGAAGAACGCAGCGAAAUGCGAUACGUAGUGUGAAUUGCAGAAUCUAGUGAACCAUCGAAUCUUUGAACGCACAUUGCGCCCGCCGGCAUCCCGGCGGGCAUGCCUGUCCGAGCGUCAUCU
rnacentral:rRNA from 1 species